rnacentral:rRNA from 1 species
UACACACGUGCUACAAUGGCGCAUACAAAGAGAAGCGACCUCGCGAGAGCAAGCGAACCUCAUAAAGUGCGUCGUAGUCCGGAUUGGAGUCUGCAACUCGACUCCAUGAAGUCGGAAUCGCUAGUAAUCGUGGAUCAGAAUGCCACGGUGAAUACGUUCCCGGGCCUUGUACACACCGCCCGUCACACCAUGGGAGUGGGUUGCAAAAGAAGUAGGUAGCUUAACCUUCGGGAGGGCGCUUACCACUUUGUGAUUCAUGACUGGGGUGAAGUCGUAACAAGGUAACCGUAGGGGAACCUGCGGUUGGAUCACCUCCUUACCUUAAAGAAGC